UUCCGGUUGAUCAAAAAUGCACAGAAUUCAAAAUGACAACAAGUUGACUGUGAUUUUGUUUUGGAGUUUGUUGAACAACAAUCCAUCUGUGUGAAACCUCAAAAUGAGCAACGAAUCGUCAGAGAGCGAUGUGGACGUUAUGAUUUAGAGGCUGAAAAGGAAAUAUCAGGAGAGGAAACGGGUCUCUACAGAGCAGAAAGCAGCUGGGCUGAGUGGAAGACACUACCAUGUUGAGCAGCAGAGAGUGGUGAAGUCCCCCAGGUGUCGACGCACCACCACCAGGGAGAUAAGAGGUUAAAACAGAGCUGUUCCAGGCUGUCACCAACCCAGGGGGUGAGAGGGGUGAGGCAGCAGGUGUCCUCCACUGUAUUCUCUUCCUCCUGCCCCUCAGUGAUGGGACAGGUCUACCAGGAGAUGCUGCACAUCUACGAACAACUACAGGCAUAGCGUUUGAGCCAGCAACAGUGGUCGGCCCAGCUCCAGGACAGAGAAAAUAGACUGCUAGAGCAGGAGGAGGUACACACACAUACUUGAAGUGGGCAGUGUAAGUCCUGCCUGCCCCUCUCAGGCUGCUGACUUUGCUAUUGGACUGGGUUCUAGACGGACAGGCGUUUCCUCCGCAGGACAGCCCAGGGUCAGCAGCACAAGUCUCCAGCUGUCUCUCUCAACCACAGGUGCUCUAAGGUGUUGCGUCCGUUGGUAAAGCAGCUGCAGCAGGUCUCUGCAUCAUCAGACCCCUCUGUCACCCUGUCCCUGAUCAAGUUUAUACACUGGAGCCUGAGAGAAAUAGACAACAGCACACAGACCGUGGCUCUGUCGUCCACUCUGCGGCAUCUGGUGAAGAGGUACCCAGGGCUCCGACCCAGCAGCAGGACCCCAGCG